rnacentral:tRNA from 1 species
GCGCUCGUAGCUCAGUGGAUAGAGCGUCUGGUUGCGGUCCAGAAGGCCAGGGGUUCAAGUCCCUUCGGGCGCA